rnacentral:rRNA from 1 species
AUGGCGCCGACGCCGCAGGAGGAGGCGGAAGCCGCCAAGGCGUUGGCUGAUGCGGGGAAGGGGGCUGCUGACAAGGCGGAUGCGAAGACUGCCGGCAGCAGCGAGCUGCUACCGUUGGCGGUGUCGGUAGCGCAGAGCGGGCGGCCGCGCGGGCCGCUCGUGUGGCCGCAGCUGACGAAGACAAACUACCCCAUCUGGGUGAUAAAGAUGAGGGUGGCGAUGCAGUCAGCGCGCAUCUGGGAGGCGGUGGAGCGGACGACCGCGGAUUAUGAGGUAGAUCGAGAGGCCCUGUACGCCAUCUACCAGAGCGUGCCGGACUCCUUCAUGCCGUCCCUCGCUGGCAAGGACUCGGCAAAGGCGGCGUGGGAAACCAUCCGCGCAGCGCACGUCGGUCACGACCGCGUGCAGCAGGCGAGCCUUCAGGCGAUGAGGCUUGAGUUCGAGCAGCUCAAGAUGGGUGACGCCGAGGCCGUCGACGACUUCGCAGCACGGCUGAACACCCUGGUCGCCAAGCUGCGGACACUUGAUGUGACAGCCAUUGAAGUGCAGAAAUCCGCUAGCUUCGGGACCAUGCCAUUAUCUAGCAAAAUAUUGGCAGGUUUAAAACCCUCAUGGACAAGGGGGGCAUCCUGGCAUUCCACGUGA